rnacentral:rRNA from 1 species
GACGAACGCUGGCGGCGUGCUUAACACAUGCAAGUCGAACGGAAAGGCCCUGCUUUUGUGGGGUGCUCGAGUGGCGAACGGGUGAGUAACACGUGAGUAACCUGCCCUUGACUUUGGGAUAACUUCAGGAAACUGGGGCUAAUACCGGAUAGGAGCUCCUGCUGCAUGGUGGGGGUUGGAAAGUUUCGGCGGUUGGGGAUGGACUCGCGGCUUAUCAGCUUGUUGGUGGGGUAGUGGCUUACCAAGGCUUUGACGGGUAGCCGGCCUGAGAGGGUGACCGGCCACAUUGGGACUGAGAUACGGCACAGACUCCUCCGGGAGGCAGCAGUGGGGAAUAUUGCACAAUGGGCGGAAGCCUGAUGCAGCAACGCCGCGUGCGGGAUGACGGCCUUCGGGUUGUAAACCGCUUUCGCCUGUGACGAAGCGUGAGUGACGGUACUGGGUAAAGAAGCACCGGCUAACUACGUG